rnacentral:rRNA from 1 species
UGGGGAAUAUUGGGCAAUGGGCGCAAGCCUGACCCAGCAAUGCCGCGUGAAGGAAGAAGGCCCUCGGGUUGUAAACUUCUUUUAUCAGGGACGAAGGAUGUGACGGUACCUGAUGAAUAAGCUCCGGCUAACUACGUGCCAGCAGCCGCGGUAAUACGUAGGGAGCAAGCGUUAUCCGGAUUUACUGGGUGUAAAGGGCGCGUAGGCGGGAUGGCAAGUCAGAUGUGAAAUCCAAGGGCUCAACCCUUGAACUGCAUUUGAAACUGUCGUUCUUGAGUACUGGAGAGGUUGACGGAAUUCCUAGUGUAGCGGUGAGAUGCGUAGAUAUUAGGAGGAACACCAGUGGCGAAGGCGGUCAACUGGACAGCAACUGACGCUGAGGCGCGAAAGCGUGGGGAGCAAACAGGAUUAGAUACC